CUGCCAGCUACCUAGCUGCCCGCUCACUCAACCUCAGGGGUCCUCUUGACUGGCCAUUCCUGCAGGGCACUGUGUGACGUGCGCUGGAGAGCCUCCUGGUGCAAGGCCUACCGUGAGACUUAAUGAACAAUUACUGUCUGGCAGACCAUGUCUCACCCAGAGCCGAAGCUGGGCCAUCCUCCCUAGCCCUCCCCAGGCCCCCGGGUGGGCCUCUCAGAGUUCAGUCCUAUAGUUGUUAACUGGGUCAUGGCUAAUUGUACUUGAGUGUAGACAAGAACUCUAUCUUGUUCUUUUAUGAGAAUUCCUUCAUUCAUCAGUUCACUCAACAGUUGUUGACUGAGUGCCUGCCAUGUAUCAAAACUCCAGAACAGAUACUAUGCCUUUAAUGCAGCAUGCGGCUUAUUGUAACUUUUCGAAAGCUUUAAAACCUUUGCAGAGCAGAUGUAUAUACAUAACAUAGAAUGAUAGAAAGAUUAUCUAAAGCUUGAUAACCUGAGACCAUCCAAUAUGUUUUUAAUCAUGCAUUCGUCCGUCUCAAUUCUGUGCACAGCAGUGCAUGUGCCCUGACAGGGCAUCUGUGAUGUCUGGAGGCAAUUGGGUUGGCUCAGUGCAAGGAGGUGGAGGGUGUGGGAGACACUGUGACUGGUGUCCAGGGGCUAGAAGCCAGGGAUGCCUCCAAAUGUCCUGCAGCACACAGGACGGCCUCCACAACAGAGUUAUUCUGCCCGCAAUGUCAAACGUGCUCAGCUCAAGGAACCCUGCCUUACACUCCAGGCCAGCCUCUGAAGGUGUUUAGGUUGGGAUGGUGAAGAAAUGCCAGUCAGCAGACUGAAAUCACCAUGGUUUGCAGCUGCCAGUUUGCCACUUCACUGGAGAGAUUUUCUGAGAUUCAAGCUGGACAUUUGGUCUGAGUGUCAUCUUAAUGAGAAGGAAAAAUGACUCCACGGUGCUGUGUGGGGUCCCCGUCUCUGCGCAGCAGUCAUGCUCCAGGGAGGGGCUCUGUGGAUCCAGAUGCAGCUGAAACAGAACAACACAAAUGGAAAACGCACGCACACACACUAACUGAAGGAACAAGGAAGCAUUCGGUGGGUGCUCUCUUUCUGGCUUUGUGGAAGAAGAUUCACGAUGGUCCAGCCUCACUCAGAGGCCAAAAACUAAUGACAAUGGGAAUGUUGACAGGUGUAGUUCUCUGA
rnacentral:lncRNA from 1 species